CAGUGUCAUCUCUAAAGCUCCUCUCUCUCCCUUUCACCUGUAAUUUCCCUUUUCACAAUAACUUCAGUCUUCAGCACUGCUUCUCAAUAAAGUUCAAAACUUUGAAAUGGGUUUUUUGUACAUUCUUUUUCAAGUGAUUAUUCAGUUAAUAACAGUCAGAUUGGUGUGAAGAACAGCAGUUCAUCAAAUUGCUUGAACUCAAGGACUCUGUCUUUCUUAUCAUUGCAAUAUGGAAUUGGAAGGGUUAUUCGAUCCGCUAUCAGAAUGCUGGGAACAGUGGCCCCUCUCUAGUUUUAGCUCAUGGUUUUGGAGCAAACAGGACACUUCCUCUUUCUUCCUCUCCAGUUGUUGCUUGGAAACUGCCAUCUCUUGCCAACUUAUUCCAGCAACAAAUCCACCUCCCGCAAGGACUUCCAGCACCGACCUGCUGCUGGAAACUUCCUCCUGCUGCCGAAUCUUUGCUGCUGUUUCCUCUUGAUUUCUGCCGUAGCUUCUCCUGGCUGGUUCUCAUCAAACGCUCCCCUUCAGAGUUUGGAUGUGGGAUGCCAUGCUUGGUUCUCUCAAUGAAAGCAUCAAUUAUGGAAACUCAAGAAGAGAAAGAUAGGUUCAGAAAAGUUUCUCAAAGGUCAUGACUGACAACUCACUUCUUCCUUGCACUGACCAUUGGAAAAAAACUAUCCCAGUUCUUGCAAAAUCACAUAAGAGUAUAUUCAAUUGAUGUCAUUGGUUAUGGAUUCUCUCAUCAAAACCUUGUGAAUUUGGAGAUAAAUCCUUUUGUACAUUUGAGACAUGGGCUACUCAGCUAUAUGACUCCUGUGUCGAUGUAGUCAAAGAUGAGGCUUUCUUCCUAUGCAAUUCCAUAGGAGAAGUUGUUGGUCUUCAGGCUUCAGUUAUAGACCCACAGAUCUGUGAAGGCAUUAUAUUGUAAAUUAUAUCUUUGCGUUUGCUACACAUUAAAAGGCAGCCAUGAUUUGGUAGGCCUUUUAUCAGAUCAUUCCAAAGUAUGCUGAGGAAUGCUGCUUUGGGAAAAAUUUGCUUCAACUCAGUUGCCACUCCAGAGUCUGUGAGAAACAUUCUGUGUCUGGUGUUGUUUGGUGGCAUGUUAAGUAUUUUCCUUUCAAAGAACGAUGUUUUUUUUCUUUUUUACUGGAUGUUGGCAGAGCCCUACAUCUGAUAUCCAAAGUAAGUUUCUCAUGGAGCUUCUUAACAAAUGGUGGAUACUUUUACCCUUGUGCUAGAAAAGAUAACCGUUUGAUUAUAUUUGUUGAUGAGCAUGAAGGAUUCAGCACCUCAUCUUGUGAACCCCUCGUGGAGUCAUUGGUUGCAAUCAUAGCAAGUGUUUCUACUGUUUGAUAGUAGACA